AAAUGGAGGCAAGGAGGGCUUUAACAUUGUACCUUGUAAAAUUUAAAGAACUUAUCUGAAAAACUGUAUUUUGAAAAAAAAACAUAGGUAAAUAAGCUUGGUUUGAGGUAUUUCUCACCAGUAGUACUGGGAGAGUAUUAUAAGGAUUAGAGUUGGUACAGAUUCUUGCAGGGGCUAUACUGGAGAGGUAAGAGCAGGAUUCCUGUGGGAAUAGGGGUGGAAAACCAAACCACAAAAUCCAUUGUGGAAAUCCUUCUGAUGGAGUAAGGAAACUAUUUGAACUUUUGACAUGUGGCACAAAAGGAAGGAUACAGGUCUGCCUCCCUGAAAGAUGCUUAGCACCAAAGCUGUAGAGCCCCUGGCCGCUGUAAAAGACACUGGCCUUUACAGAACCCCAUCAAGCCCUUUAGAAAUGAGGCAAAACCUUUAGGACUGUGGUGCUUCCAAGGCUGCUACAAUCCUACUCCUUGCUCAGUACUGCAAAGAAGGAAAGUGAGUAAGCUAAUGCCUUUAAGCAACAGUUUCUGGGAGAUGAGAAAUGAGGUCAAUUGCCUUGUUUGCUUUGCAAUGUUACAAUUCAACACCCCAGUGCAAGUCUGAGUCAGGAUUCUUCAUCUGCUUUAAUUCAGCCAACCUAUUACAAUGGCUGAUUGUUUUCUUACAUUUUAACUGACUUUUCUGUUGUCUUCUAUUCAUAGGUGCAUUGGGCAAUGAAGGAAUAUCCAAUGGAAAUUACUCUGGAUGUCUCCAAUACGUGAGCCAGAAUUUGUUUAAAAGAAAAAAAGAAAUCUGAAGAAAUCACUCCUGGUGGUAACAUCUGACCUCUUCAUCCAAAAAGCAGCCUCCAUCUACUUCAAGAAGGUGCGAUGUGUCCAGGCUCAGAGGGCCCCCUCAAGUGCACUGUUCCUGCAGCCAGAAGUCUCAAUGCUGCACGGUCUGCAAUGCCAGAGAGACUGAGCUUUGGUCCCACCUCUGAAAUACUUCAUGCUGGACAGGUCCUCCCAAAGCAGUAGUCACACAAGAGAGAGAGAGAGCUACAAGUCCCAAGAGACCAGAGACUGAAGAACCUGAAUCGUCAAAUACAGUGUUUGAUCCCAACAUUUAUUUGCCUGGUUAGUUUCACUAGGAGGCCUAUGGAGGCUUCUACACUUCUAUUUUGGGGGCGAGGGAAUGAAAUGGAGAUCAAAAAGUAGAAAGGGUUUGGUAGAAACAAGGAGACUGCCAUCUAAAUUCACGUCCUUCUUUAUGUAAGAAGAAAUGAAAUGAGGAAGAAAUGCCCCAGAUGCUGCCUAUUUUCAGCGAGUCAACUCUGCUUCGUCUUCCUCUCCCAGAGAAAAAGAGAAGCAGAUUUUGUAACAAUUUCAACUUUGACAUUUUGGUCUUAAGUCAGCGAGACAUUUAAAUACCUGCUUUGUGAACAGAACUAUAUUGCUCGUUCCUCAGAACUUUGACUUGAAUUUUAGAACCUCUUUUCUAACAACAAAAUAAAUAAGAAAGAUACAUAAUACUCAGGAAGGUGGCAGGAUCCAAGAACAAAAUCUAAGUUCCCUUCUGCUGCAGUAAAUAUCUGAUAGGUUCAGAGUGUGCAGUCGGUGUAUGCAACAUCAGUGAUUUAACACUGCUGCAAGGAAAGAGUCAUCCUUGGUGCUGUGCUCAUGCCAGUAAGUAUAAAACCAUCCCCUUCCUACCUGGUCAAGGAAUUCAGAUGUGUAAAUGCCAGAUGGAGUCUUCUGUAGAGAACAAGUUCCUUCCUAGCUCAAAUUUAACUUUAUUCCUUGUCUUUAUUUUGAUGCAAACACAUUGUAUUCUCCCUUCAUUUUCCUAUGACGAUUUAAAGUGAAGGCAUCAAUCUGAUUGAAAAUGCAACUUGCAGUAUUUCCUAUUCCACACUGGGAAAGAUGAAAGCUCUUAACUUCUUGAAGGCAUCUCUCAAAUAUAAUUAAUAAACCUACUCUGGCCAGGACAGCAAGAUUUAAUCUCCAAGUAGCAAAGGUCAGUUUAGAGCAGGUGAAGAAUGGAGAUAAGGAGACAGGACUGUCAACUGCAAAGGCAGUUUGUGAGAAAAAAUAGCUGGAUAAAAUAUAAAGGAGUGCAAAUAUACGAAUGGAAAAACACUGUUUAUGCCAAAUAUCCAUAAUUUUGAAUGGUUACAAGAAUCUGCAAUUUUGGGUGGGGAAAAAAACCCAAACAUGUAUAACCUUGACCCUAAUGUUGAGCUCAAGUUAUUGCAUCUGCAUGAUUUUCCCCAAACAAAUCCAUCAUCUGCCCUGCUGGAGCACGUUGCUCCACAAUGCCCAGAAGCACAGUGGAUUGCCAAGAAGAGUUAUUAAAACAAAGGUUCCCAGGUUUUGUUUUUGUUUUUUACUAUUAUUGGUGGUUUUUUACAUUAUAGAAGAUUUAGGAUCUCCCUUCACUCUUGAGCUAUAAGAGAAGGAGGCCACUGUAAGCCUCUCUGUGGAGAGAGAGAAGGGAUAACUGCAUGACACUUCCCUUGAGAACCAAAACCAUCAAUUGCAAUAACUGAAAGCCCUGGGAGCAUCUACAACUAACAGUGAGGGAUCUGCAGUCAGAAAACACGUAAUUUUUGUUGUUUCUCUGUAUUUAUGAAUGAUUAAGGAAGAUCAAGAUUUUUUUUUUUUCACUGAUAUACUUCUUUCACUCUUGUGCAUCUGCUGACUGGAAGACAUUCAGUGAAUAUCAACACUUUUUUGAGCAGCAUUAGGUUAAAGAUGGAGAAUCUAAAGCCACACUGACAGAAAAAUUAGGUACCUAAUUUUCAUACAUUCUCCAUAAAACCAUUAUGUGGCUGAGUCCAGAAAGACUAAAAAAUUGCAGGGAGUGACCUCAACAUGGUACAAGGUUACGAGUGACAUAUUCCCCUCCCCCAAGACGUUUCAGAUUGCAGCAUGCUACAGAUUUGAAAUAUGGACAUGGAAAUACAAAUAAAAUACUAAAAUUAAAAAAUAUUGCUCUAUCACAAAAGUA